rnacentral:rRNA from 1 species
AUUGAACGCUGGCGGCAUGCCUUACACAUGCAAGUCGAACGGUAACAGGUCUUCGGAUGCUGACGAGUGGCGAACGGGUGAGUAAUAUAUCGGAACGUGCCCAGUCGUGGGGAAUAACGCAGCGAAAGCUGUGCUAAUACCGCAUACGAUCUAUGGAUGAAAGCGGGGGAUCGCAAGACCUCGCGCGAUUGGAGCGGCCGAUAUCAGAUUAGGUAGUUGGUGGGGUAAAGGCCUACCAAGCCAACGAUCUGUAGCUGGUCUGAGAGGACGACCAGCCACACUGGAACUGAGACACGGUCCAGACUCCUACGGGAGGCAGCAGUGGGGAAUUUUGGACAAUGGGCGCAAGCCUGAUCCAGCAAUGCCGCGUGCAGGAUGAAGGCCUUCGGGUUGUAAACUGCUUUUGUACGGAACGAAAAGGCUCUGGUUAAUACCUGGGGCUCAUGACGGUACCGUAAGAAUAAGCACCGGCUACUACGUGCCAGCCGCCGCCGUAA